ACUUUCAACAACGGAUCUCUUGGCUCUCGCAUCGAUGAAGAACGCAGCGAAAUGCGAUACGUAAUGUGAAUUGCAGAUUCCGUGAAUCAUCGAAUCUUUGAACGCAAAUUGUACUUUCCAGUAAUCUGGGGAGUAUGCUUGGUUGAGGGUC
rnacentral:rRNA from 1 species